CACGCGCGGCCCCUCGUGACGUCACCGCGCCCGGCUCCCACCGGCGGCGCCUAUNCCGGGCUGCGGGUCUGAGCGCAGCCCGGGGUGUGCCCGGCCCGGCGGCCCCGGGUGAUGCUCCCCGCGUGUGGCCCGGAGCGGUUCUCUCCAUCCCCCGGCUCUGACCCUGCGCUUCCCCGCAGCGCCCAGCGUGGCGGGCACGGCGAGAAGGGAAACGCCGGAUCCUGCCCAGGGCAGCCGCAGCCGCAGCGCACGGACAGCGGCUGGCCGCCUCUGUGGGGCAAGCCACAAACGCGCAUCGCUAAUAAAACGACGCUAAUUUACAAUGAAAGAAUGCCUUGAUGUGUUUCCUGUACGUUCCCACGCGAAACACAAGGGAACCAAACAAGUAAAGGGUUUCUGCUAAUGCGUUUAACUGUUUGACGUAAUAAAACAUAUUUUUCACCCAGCCAGGAGUUCAAACUACAGGUGUUGUCCAUAGUAGGUUAUCUCUGGGUCGGGGAUAUGCUCUGAAAUAAAGCCCCUCACUCAUUAUAAGGUCGAGAUGAUGCUGUACCAUCAUAUUUAGAUCAUGGCUCGUAGGGAAAUAUGGGGGAUACUUAGUCACCUAUGGCAUGACCUUAUAUUCCCACUCAAUUUAGUAACAACAGUUGGUUUCUUAUAGGACAUGUGAGAUUUAAUUUAUUAACAGUUUCUAGGAUAAGUGGAAGGAACUCAGAAAAGGCAUGAGAUGAGAACUCAGCAGAUGAAGGGAACAUUCUCAGAGGGAUGGAGCUCCCAGAGAAAUGGAGGAGCUGGCUCACUUCAGGACAAGUUCAAGAAUGAGCACAACUGGUUUGCUGUCAGAUUGUGGUGCUGGCUGCAGCUCGUGGGCAAUAAUGAGACCAGCACUGUGUAGCAAACAAGUAGAUGUCAGUGACCAUCCACAACUGGAUAACAACACUUGGCUUUCCAAGGUACUUCUACCCACAUGGAAGGAGAGAACUGCUUUUUUUUCCAUUAUUCUACAACACUGCUCUGCUUAGCUGGAAAUACUCUAAAUACAUUCCCACUUCUGAU
rnacentral:lncRNA from 1 species